UACGGGGGGUGCAAGCGUUGUUCGGAAUUAUUGGGCGUAAAGAGCGUGUAGGCGGCCGGAUGUGUCAGAUGUGAAAGCCCUGGGCUUAACCCAGGAAGUGCAUUUGAAACUGUCCGGCUUGAGUAGGGGAGAGGGAAGUGGAAUUCCUGGUGUAGAGGUGAAAUUCGUAGAUAUCAGGAGGAACACCGGUGGCGAAGGCGACUUCCUGGCCCUAUACUGACGCUGAGACGCGAGAGCGUGGGUAGCAAACAGG
rnacentral:rRNA from 2 species